GUUCGCCAUUUAAAGCGGUACGUGAGUUGGGUUAAUAACGUCGUGAGACAGUUAGGUCCCUAUCUACUGUGGGCGUUGGAUAUUUGAGCGAACUUGACCUUAGUACGAGAGGACCGGGUCGAACGAACCUCUGGUGUACCUGUUGUCGCGCCAGCGGCACCGCAGGGUAGCUAUGUUCGGAACAGAUAACCGCUGAAAGCAUCUAAGCGGGAAGCUGGUCGCAAGAUAAGAUAUCCCUAUGAGUUCAGUUCAAGACCAGGACAUUGAUAGGCGGUGGGUGUAAGCCUUGUGAGGGGUUUAGCCGAACCGUACUAAUCGAACCAUUGACUUUUUAUC
rnacentral:rRNA from 1 species